rnacentral:rRNA from 1 species
CAAGAGUACGUGAAACCGUUCAGGGGUAAACCUGAGAAACCCAAAAGAUCGAAUGGGGAGAUUCAUCGUCAGCUCAUUUUGUAUAUGUAUAAGUUAUGAUGCGGGUUACUACUUGUAGUAUUGCCUGCACAUUCUUGUAUAUUUAGUUGCAAGAUGUUGUCGGCGUGCACUUCUCCCCUAGUAGGACGUCGCGACCUGUUGGGUGUCGGUCUACGGCCCGAGUGAUAGCCUUUAAUGUAAUUUAAAAAACAUUGAAGAUCCUUGGUGUUUUCUGACCGGCUACUUGGCAGUAUUCGUACGGUAUUUAGCCGCUAAAUUUAUUAAGCGUCCAUAUCCAUCACAAGCGAGGCUAAUUUACUGAUAGUACGGACCUAGUGCCGUCGUUGGUAUUGGCCAGCUGUUGGUUGAUGGUAUUCUAGGACUGGCUAAAAUUAAUUACCGGUCGGCGAUGCUACUGCUUUGGGUACUUUCAGGACCCGUCUUGAAACACGGACCAAGAAUUUAAAAAAA